rnacentral:rRNA from 1 species
UACGUAGGGCGCAAGCGUUGUCCGGAAUUAUUGGGCGUAAAGAGCUCGUAGGCGGCCAGUUGCGUCUGCUGUGAAAUCCCGGGGCUCAACCCCGGGCGUGCAGUGGAUACGGGCUGGCCAGAGGCAGGCAGGGGAGAACGGAAUUCCCGGUGUAGCGGUGAAAUGCGCAGAUAUCAGGAGGAACACCGGUGGCGAAGGCGGGUCUCUGGGCCGAUACUGACACUGAGGAGCGAAAGCGUGGGGAGCGAACAGG